GACGAACCGAGCGAACGUUGUUCGGAAUCACUGGGCUUAAAGGGCGCGUAGGCGGGCGGUUAAGUCUGCGGUGAAAUCCUCCAGCUCAACUGGAGAACUGCCGUGGAUACUGGCUGUCUUGAGUACGGGAGAGGUGUGUGGAACUCCGAGUGUAGAGGUGAAAUUCGUAGAUAUUCGGAAGAACACCAGUGGCGAAGGCGACACACUGGCCCGUUACUGACGCUGAGGCGCGAAAGCGUGGGGAGCAAACAGG
rnacentral:rRNA from 1 species